rnacentral:rRNA from 1 species
AUUGAACGCUGGCGGCAUGCCUUACACAUGCAAGUCGAACGGUAACGGGCCUUCGGGUGCCGACGAGUGGCGAACGGGUGAGUAAUGUAUCAGAACGUACCAUUCAGUGGGGGAUAACUAUCCGAAAGGAUAGCUAAUACCGCAUAUUCUGUGAGCAGGAAAGCAGGGGAUCGCAAGACCUUGCGCUGAUUGAGCGGCCGAUGUCAGAUUAGCUAGUUGGUGAGGUAAAGGCUCACCAAGGCGACGAUCUGUAGCGGGUCUGAGAGGAUGAUCCGCAACACCGGAACUGAGACACGGUCCAGACUCCUACGGGAGGCAGCAGUGGGGAAUAUUGGACAAUGGGCGAAAGCCUGAUCCAGCCGUGCCGCGUGUGUGAAGAAGGUCUUCGGAUUGUAAAGCACUUUAAGUUGGGAGGAAGGGCAGUAAGUUAAUACCUUGCUGUUUUGCCGUUCCCGACAGAAUAAGCACCGGCUAACUUCGUGCCAGCCGCCGCAGUAAAAC